rnacentral:rRNA from 1 species
UUGAACGCUGGCGGCAUGCCUUACACAUGCAAGUCGAACGGCAGCACGGGUGCUUGCACCUGGUGGCGAGUGGCGAACGGGUGAGUAAUAUAUCGGAACAUACCCUAGAGUGGGGGAUAACGUAGCGAAAGUUACGCUAAUACCGCAUACGAACUAAGGUUGAAAGUGGGGGAUCGCAAGACCUCAUGCUCAUGGAGUGGCCGAUAUCUGAUUAGCUAGUUGGUGAGGUAAAGGCUCACCAAGGCGACGAUCAGUAGCUGGUUUGAGAGAACGACCAGCCACACUGGAACUGAGACACGGUCCAGACUCCUACGGGAGGCAGCAGUGGGGAAUUUUGGACAAUGGGGGCAACCCUGAUCCAGCAAUGCCGCGUGAGUGAAGAAGGCCCUCGGGUUGUAAAGCUCUUUUGUCAGGGAAGAAACGGUCUACUCUAAUACAGUGGGCUAAUGACGGUAC